AUGUCAUCGUUCACCGGCGUAUCCAUCGUUGAAGACCAUGAGGGGUGCUCUUGCAACACGUCGGCGGUCGACCCUGGCACGGACAUUGGCUACCAUCUGUUCAUGGUCAAGGGCUACUCGCGCACCAAAGAGUUGUUGUCCAUAGGCGAGAGCAUCAACACUGGUCCUUUCAUAGUAGGAGGUCAUGACUGGUUAAUCGAGUACUACCCUAACGGCGCAUAUCCGAGCUGCGCCAACUUCAUCUCUCUCUAUGUAUCCCUUUUCCACGACGAUGAAAAACUGGAUGCCAGGGUCAGUUUUAGUCUCGUCGACCAGGUUGAGAGGCAGACACCAAUGUACAUUCAUGCAACUAAUAGAGCUUGCAGGUUCGACAAUGAUGUUUCUUGGGGCACCAACAAGUUUUUGACAAGAGAGGCCCUUGAACGAUCGGCACAUCUAAAGGGUGAUUCUUUCACCAUCCGGUGUGACAUAAUGGUACGCAAGGAUCACAAUACUGAAGAUGCCGGUGGCCACGGCACCAAGGUGCUCCUCUCAGACAUAGACCAGCAUUUUAACAUUCUCCUUCAAACCAAGGUGGGUGCUGAUGUGACAUUUGAGGUUAGUGGUGAGAUGUUCACUGCACAUCGUUGUGUGCUUGCAGCCCGGUCCAAAGUCUUCAUGACACAACUCUUUGGUCCCAUGAAGGAGGACAUUACCACUUCCGGUGUCAUACAUGUCAAAGAUAUGAGAGCAAGCGUGUUCAUGGCAUUGCUUAGAUUCAUCUACACGGACUCAUGCCCUGAGAUAGAGAAGGACUACAUGGAGGAGGAAGAAAUGUCACAAGUUCUUGAAGAAGAACAAGAAGAUGGUACAGUAGAGGAUGAUGAAAACUGGCUACAAUGGCUUCAAGACUUGUUUGUGGCGGCAGACAUGUACGAUGUCGAACAACUCAAGCGCAUAUGUGAAAUGCGAUUGUCUGAUAACUUAAUUUUGAGCUCGGUGAUGUCUACCCUUGCUCUAGCCGAGCAGCACCACUGCCAGGGAUUGAAGGAGGCAUGCUUGAAGUUUAUUCAAGUCCAACCCCCCUGGUGCUUGCAAACAGUAACGAUGAGUGAUGGCUGGGAUCACGUAGUUUCAACCUAUCCCUCGGUUAUAAAGGAGAUUUUUUUCAAGCUUGCUUCGAACCAACGGAAGUGA
rnacentral:rRNA from 1 species